ensembl:lncRNA
GUUAGAUGUUAGGUCUAAGGGUAAGGGGUUAGGGUGUCAGGGGUAGGUGUUAGGGUGUCAGGGGGAGGUGUAAGGGUGUUAGGUUUUUGGUUAGAUUUUAGGUCUUAGGGUUCGGUGUUAAGGUUAGGUAUCAGGGUAAGGUGUUAGUUGUCAGGGUAAGGUGUUAGGCUUAGGUGUUUGGGUUUCAGGGAUAGGUGAUAGGGUGUUAGGUGUACCAGUGACUCCUGGACCGGCCCAACCAGCGAUGAAACCAGGCUGAAAGCUCCAAACAAAGGGAAUAUUUUGAAAAAUCUUUAUGAGAUUUUCUCCAGCACAUAGAGUGCUGGAGGCUCGCACUGAGCGCUUCCUACCUGCGUUACCGUUGCCCCCAGUAACGACACCCGAUCCAGCAUCCCACAUCAUUCACUGCUCCCACUUGCAGAAAACGGUCAUCAGUACUGGAUCUGUAGUGAUGGAGCUGUGGGGGAACAUGAGACAAAAAAGGUAUGGAAACACUUUUCUAUGCAGACGAUCUCAGGGUCAAGCUAAUUGACGAUCUCUACUGAAGACCAUAUCUGCUGACCAUCUGGACUCUCAAUCCUUAAUCGGAUUGAAAACAAGUCAAUGUCUUCGGAUAAAGUCAACCACUUUAUUGUUAGCAUUGAUUGACCUGUCUAGUAGGUCAAUCAGAAGGUAACCAUGGAGAUUCCACCACGC